AUGUUGGAUUAAAUGGAAGUCCAGGAUGAUGCCAUGGCUCCCCAUUGGAAGUUUGUAAAUAUGUUCCAGUUUUACGGGAUUUCAAACAAUUCAUAGAUGGAACAGACCAGAGGACUCAACAUAAGGAUGAGUUCUAAUGCCUGCAAAUUAGGACUACAUAGAGAAUGAGAUCUGACACUGGUGAUUUCUGACAGGUAUGAAUCAUUCACCAUGUGACUCCACAUUUUGUGAAGGAGGCAGCAGAGAUCAUGAAUGAGUGUGUGCAUCCAUGUGGAGCUCCAGAUUUUAUGACAGCAAAGAUAUUUUUGCAUUUGAAGGAUGGGAAUGCAGGUUGGGAACAGAAGUGGAGAUUAAAUGAAUGUCGUCUCUACAUUGGCAGCGCACAAUAGGUGCUGUUGGAAAUUCUUCAGCCUGUAAAUGGACAAGGGAUUAGUUAAAUUUUGAAUAAAAGGAGGAUCAAUAUUUUCAGGAGGAGGAAGAUUGGUGGAAAACUACAGCAUUUUGCAAUAAAGGUAAAAAGGGAAAGGUAUGCUGUGCAGUUGAUCAAGUUUGAGUGGUGGUUGUGUCGAGAUUGAAACUACUGGCGAUGUGUCAAGAUGAAACUACAAUGGUGAUUUAUGGUUGCAGUUGCCUUCUUGAAUUAUGCUGAAUUACUAGUUUGGUAAUUACAAUGAACUUUCAACAGUUGUUUGAAGAGUAAUCCAGUUCAUUUGCAAAACCACAAACGUGGUAAAUAGUGAACUCUGCUGUUGGUUUAAUCAUCGAUAAGAAAGAAGAGGCCAACUUAAGGGGAAGGAUGACUUUUCAUUUGUUAUCAGCAACUAAAGAAGGAAGGAAGACUGGCUUUUAAAAUUUGAUCCAUGAGUUUUGGGAAAGGAAUAACUUCAGUUGACAUGUUGCAGACUUGAGAGAGUGAAUUUUCGGGAAAAUAGCAGUAUUAUGGAUGGUGUAUAAUGAAGACAAGGGUCCCAUGGAAACCAUUUUAGGAUUAGAUUGUGUCGAGGAUCAUAAACCCUGUAAUGGUAGGAAGCAGAUACUCGAAGAAAGCCGAGAGAUGUCAAGGUUUCUGUACCAAGAUGGCAGUGUUUUAAGUGAUAAAAGUGAUGGUGCUGUACGUUGUUUCUCAUAGGGCGAAGUUUGGAGAAGUAUUAGCAGAAAACUGGUGCCAUUUCCAAACUAGGGUUAGUGCUGCUGAAGUGAAUUGAGGGAAGUUUGAGCAAAUGCAGAGUAACCCUAACCCUCCAACCCCACCCCACUGCCUAAAGAUUCAUUGGAGAUCCCCAGAGCACUGCAAGGUCUGCAUCCUAUUACUACAAAUUUGUAUGACCUAUCCUGACCUGGUCUUUUCCCUGAGGUUUGGAUGGCUCCUCUGUCUGUGCCUAGCUUCCGGGAUUGGUAGUGAUUUAAGGAGGCCAGUGUGAACAUUUGUCUGCAGGUGGAAAUCGAGUGCAUUAGAAGAAUGGCUUAGGUUUAGUUUCCUAUUUUGUUGAUAUUUGUACAGGGUUUUUUUUUUUUUUCUCCUCAAACCAACAUCAUUUGUAUCUGACUAGUUUUAAAUAUAUUAUUGGAUAUUCCUAUAA